GGUGAAAUGCUUAGAUAUCACGAAGAACUCCGAUUGCGAAGGCAGCCUGCUAAGCUGCAACUGACAUUGAGGCUCGAAAGUGUGGGUAUCAAACAGGAUUAGAUACCGUGGUAGUCCACACGGUAAACGAUGAAUACUCGCUGUUUGCGAUAUACAGCAAGCGGCCAAGCGAAAGCGUUAAGUAUUCCACCUGGGGAGUACGCCGGCAACGGUGAAACUCAAAGGAAUUGACGGGGGCCCGCACAAGCGGAGGAACAUGUGGUUUAAUUCGAUGAUACGCGAGGAACCUUACCCGGACUUAAAUUGCAGAUGAAUUACGGUGAAAGCCGUAAGCCGCAAGGCAUCUGUGAAGGUGCUGCAUGGUUGUCGUCAGCUCGUGCCGUGAGGUGUCGGCUUAAGUGCCAUAACGAGCGCAACCCUUGUUGUCGGUUACUAACAGGUUCCGCUGAGGACUCUGACAAGACUGCCAUCGUAAGAUGUGAGGAAGGUGGGGAUGACGUCAAAUCAGCACGGCCCUUACGUCCGGGGCUACACACGUGUUACAAUGGGGGGUACAGAGGGCCGCUACCACGCGAGUGGAUGCCAAUCCCAAAAACCUCUCUCAGUUCGGACUGGAGUCUGCAACCCGACUCCACGAAGCUGGAUUCGCUAGUAAUCGCGCAUCAGCCACGGCGCGGUGAAUACGUUCCCGGGCCUUGUACACACCGCCCGUCAAGCCAUGGGAGCCGGGGGUACCUGAAGUGCGUAACCGCGAGGAGCGCCCUAGGGUA
rnacentral:rRNA from 1 species